rnacentral:lncRNA from 10 species
CAGGGCCCCAGCAUGACCAUGCCUGCAUACAGGGCGGAGAGAAGGCACCAAGACCCGUGCUGUCCCAAGCCAACACCACCUGCAGUGCAACAGCCCACAGUCUCCAGCAGGGGCCUUCAGCUUCCACCGCUGGCUGCCUUGCCUCUGCCACUGUGGUGAAUACCCAAAGGAAGGCAUCCCUGUAUCUGCUAACACUCUGCUGCACCUGCUGCACAUCAGCCCCCCACCAGCACAGUGGACUCCAAACCUUGAAAAGCCAGAGAACAAAGCUGAGGCCCAAUAUAAAUCCCCCAGAGUUGGAACAUGCAGUCUAGGAGUUGGGAGCUGAGUGUUGGCCCCUAACAUCUCCCAGUAAUGAAGCCAGUUGGCUGAAUCCACUUUAUGCCACAAUCAAACCCUGAAGGUCAUUGAAUAGGAUUAAAAGUCCCAUCCAAAGGCCAGCAACCUAAAAAAUUAAAGGUAGAUAAGACCACAAAGACAAAAAAGAAUCAUUGCAAAAAUGCUGAAAACCCAAAAGCCAGAGUGCCUUCUUUUUGCCAAAUGACUGCAUCACCUCUCCAGAAAGGGUUCAGAACUAGGCUGAGGCUCAGAUGGCUGAAAUGACAGAAAUAGAAAUCAGAAUAUUUAUAGGAACCAAGUUAUUUGAGCUACAGGAGAAUGUUGUAACACAAGGUAAGGAAGU